UACGUAGGGUGCAAGCGUUGUCCGGAAUUAUUGGGCGUAAAGAGCUCGUAGGCGGCUAGUCACGUCGGAUGUGAAAACCCGAGGCUCAACCUCGGGCCUGCAUUCGAUACGGGCUGGCUAGAGUACUGCAGGGCAGACUGGAAUUCCUGGUGUAGCGGUGAAAUGCGCAGAUAUCAAGAAGAACACCCGUGGCGAAGACGGCUCUCUGG
rnacentral:rRNA from 1 species